rnacentral:tRNA from 1 species
GUCGGGGUCGCAUAGCCUGGCCCAUUGCGGUGGCUUGCUAAGCCAUUCGGCGUGCAACGCGCCGACGCGGGUUCAAAUCCCGCCCCUGACG